rnacentral:rRNA from 1 species
UACAGAGGGGGCAAGCGUUGUUCGGAAUUACUGGGCGUAAAGGGCGCGUAGGCGGCCCGUUAAGUCGAACGUGAAAUCCCCGGGCUCAACCCGGGAACUGCGUCCGAGACUGGCAGGCUCGAAUCCGGGAGAGGGAUGUGGAAUUCCAGGUGUAGCGGUGAAAUGCGUAGAUAUCUGGAGGAACACCGGUGGCGAAGGCGGCAUCCUGGACCGGUAUUGACGCUGAGGCGCGAAAGCCAGGGGAGCAAACGGG